UUUGAAAUGGUUCAGCUCCUAUUC
rnacentral:miRNA from 1 species